UGAUCUGCCCUGCACUUUGGGAUAAGCCUGGGAAACUGGGUCUAAUACCGAAUAUGACCGCGCACUUCCUGGUGUGUGGUGGAAAGCUUUUGCGGUGUGGGAUGGGCCCGCGGCCUAUCAGCUUGUUGGUGGGGUAAUGGCCUACCAAGGCGACGACGGGUAGCCGGCCUGAGAGGGUGACCGGCCACACUGGGACUGAGAUACGGCCCAGACUCCUACGGGAGGCAGCAGUGGGGAAUAUUGCACAAUGGGCGCAAGCCUGAUGCAGCGACGCCGCGUGAGGGAUGACGGCCUUCGGGUUGUAAACCUCUUUCAAUAGGGACGAAGCGCAAGUGACGGUACCUAUAGAAGAAGGACCGGCCAACUACGUGCCAGCAGCCGCGGUAAUACGUAGGGUCCGAGCGUUGUCCGGAAUUACUGGGCGUAAAGAGCUCGUAGGUGGUUUGUCGCGUUGUUCGUGAAAACUCACAGCUUAACUGUGGGCGUGCGGGCGAUACGGGCAGACUAGAGUACUGCAGGGGAGACUGGAAUUCCUGGUGUAGCGGUGGAAUGCGCAGAUAUCAGGAGGAACACCGGUGGCGAAAGGCGGGUCUCUGGGCAGUAACUGACGCUGAAGAGCGAAAAGCGUGGGGAGCGAACAGGAUUAGAUACCCUGGUAGUCCACGCCGUAAACGGUGGGUACUAGGUGUGGGUUUCCUUCCUUGGGAUCCGUGCCGUAGCUAACGCAUUAAGUACCCCGCCUGG
rnacentral:rRNA from 1 species